rfam:Salmo salar isolate Sally breed double haploid chromosome ssa01, whole genome shotgun sequence.
UAGCUCAGUUGGUAGAGCAUGGUGUUUGCAAUGCUAGAGUUGUGGGUUCAACUCCCAC